GGGAUUGCCUCAGUAACGGCGAGUGAAGCGGCAAAAGCUCAAAUUUGAAAUCCCCCGGGAAUUGUAAUUUGAAGAGAUUUGGGUCCGGCCGGCGGGGGUUAAGUCCACUGGAAAGUGGCGCCACAGAGGGUGACAGCCCCGUGAACCCCUUUAAAGCCUUUAUCCCAGAUCUCCAAGAGUCGAGUUGUUUGGGAAUGCAGCUCUAAGUGGGUGGUAAAUUCCAUCUAAAGCUAAAUACCGGCGAGAGACCGAUAGCGAACAAGUACAGUGAUGGAAAGAUGAAAAGCACUUUGAAAAGAGAGUGAAAAAGUACGUGAAAUUGUUGAAAGGGAAGGGCUUGCAAGCAGACACUUAACUGGGCCAGCAUCGGGGCGGCGGGGACAAAACCACUGGGGAAUGUACCUUUCGAGGAUUAUAACCCCGGUCUUUAUUUCCUCACCACCCCGAGGCCUGCAAUCUAAGGAUGCUGGCGUAAUGGUUGCAAGUCGU
rnacentral:rRNA from 1 species